GACGAACGCUGGCGGCGUGCCUAAUACAUGCAAGUCGAACGCAGUGGGGACGGGUGAGUAACACGUGGGUCAUCACCCAUCAGAGGGGAUAACACUUGGAAACAGGUGCUAACCCGAUAUGGAUGGAUCUACCCGCUGUGCAUUAGCUUGUUGGUGAGGUAACGGCUUACCCAGGCUACGAUGCACAGCCGACCUGAGAGGGUGAUCGGCCACACUGGGACUGGGACACGGCCCAGACUCCUACGUGAGGCAGCAGUGGGGAAUCUUCGGCAAUGGACGAAAGUCUGACCGAGAAACGCCGCGUGAGUGAAGAGGGUUUUCGGAUCGUAAAGCUCUGUUGUUAGGGAAGCGGUAUCUAACCAGAAAGCCACGGCUAACUACGUGCCAGCAGCCGCGGUAAUUC
rnacentral:rRNA from 1 species